rnacentral:rRNA from 1 species
GACGAACGCUGGCGGCGUGCUUAACACAUGCAAGUCGAACGGAAAGGCCCUGCUUUUGUGGGGUGCUCGAGUGGCGAACGGGUGAGUAACACGUGAGUAACCUGCCCUUGCCUUUGGGAUACCUUCAGGAAACUGGGGCUAAUCCCGGAUAGGAGCCCCUGCUGCAUGGUGGGGGUUGGAAAGUUUCGGCGGUUGGGGAUGGACUCGCGGCUUAUCAGCUUGUUGGUGGGGUAGUGGCUUACCAAGGCUUUGACGGGUAGCCGGCCUGAGAGGGUGACCGGCCACAUUGGGACUGAGAUACGGCCCAGACUCCUACGGGAGGCAGCAGUGGGGAAUAUUGCACAAUGGGCGGAAGCCUGAUGCAGCAACGCCGCGUGCGGGAUGACGGCCUUCGGGUUGUAAACCGCUUUCGCCUGUGACGAAGCGUGAGUGACGGUAAUGGGUAAAGAAGCACCGGCUAACUACGUG